rnacentral:rRNA from 1 species
ACCCUAGGUUACCUAGCUGGGCUACACAUGCAGUCGAGGGGCAGCAUAUAGAUUGCUUGCAAUUUAUGAUGGCGACCGGCGCACGGGUGAGUAACGCGUAUCCAACCUACCCAUUACUAGGGAAUAACCCAGCGAAAGUUGGCCUAAUGCCCUAUGUAGUCGUUUGAUCGCCUGAGAUUUCGACGAAAGAUUUAUCGGUAUUGGAUGGGGAUGCGUCUGAUUAGCUUGUUGGCGGGGUAAAGGCCCACCAAGGCAACGAUCAGUAGGGGUUCUGAGAGGAAGGUCCCCCACAUUGGAACUGAGACACGGUCCAAACUCCUACGGGAGGCAGCAGUGAGGAAUAUUGGUCAAUGGGCGAGAGCCUGAACCAGCCAAGUAGCGUGCAGGAUGACGGCCCUAUGGGUUGUAAACUGCUUUUAUAUGGGAAUAAAGUGAGGGACGUGUCCCUUAUUGCAUGUACCAUACGAAUAAGGACCGGCUAAUUCCGUGCCAGCACC